rnacentral:rRNA from 1 species
UACAGAGGGGGCAAGCGUUAUUCGGAAUUAUUGGGCGUAAAGGGCGCGUAGGCGGCUUCGCAAGUGGAAGGUGAAAUCCCUCGGCUUAACCGAGGAACUGCCCUCCAAACUGCGUUGCUUGAGGCCGGGAGAGGUGAGUGGAAUUCCCAGUGUAGCGGUGAAAUGCGUAGAUAUUGGGAGGAACACCAGUGGCGAAGGCGGCUCACUGGACCGGUACUGACGCUGAUGCGCGAAAGCGUGGGGAGCGAACAGG